GUGGCCAGCAGGACCAGAGAAGCGAUUCUCUCCCUGUACUCGGCACCGCUGAGGCCACCGCUGUGCCCGAUUCUGGGCGCCUCACUCCGGGGAGGACACUGAGGAUAAUAUCACUGCUACUCUAAUGGUGAUAACUUCCUUGAAACUUCAGUAUUGGCUGUGUAUCUGCAUUUCUAGAAACAUAGGCUUCUGUUGAACAGAUGGAGAUAUUCUGCCAGCUGAUAAAGUAUUGAGUAUCCAGAGAACUAUUUGGAAAAAUGUUUGUUCAUCAUAAGGUUCCUGUACAGAAUAGUAUGUGCUUCAAAUAAGCCUCUAUAAUUUGGAAGUUUUUUCCUAAAACAAUUGUUCUUUUUAAAGAAAAUAAACCAACAAAAAACAA